UUCCCUUCUAAUCCACACUAUGCACAUGACCUAUACCAACCAUCAUAUACCACACAUAGAUAAAAAGAAAAAGGGAGGACUCUACACAGGUUAGUAGUGGCAACGUUUAUAGAAGUCAUCUUCUUCACAAAACAGAACAUCCUAAUAAACCUAGACACACACACCCAUACACCAAAAAACACACAAAUACUCAUAUAGAAACAGACACGGCACCAUAUCCAAAGAGAGAGCUUUCCAUAUAUAGAAAAACUAUAAAAAACAGUCCACCAUUUUUCCGAUAAACCACCGCCCAACACCACCUCAUUUCCCGGUUACCACCUCAGUCACUCCAUCGUCGUAAUGCACCCCUUUCCCCGUUACCGACCCUGUUAUUAAACCAGUGACUACACCACCGGAAAACCCCAAGUUGAACCACCCUAAAACAACCAUAUAAACACUAUGAAAAUACCCGACAACAAGAAGUCUAAACAGAGGGGUUGAGGUUUCUGUCCCUGUUUUAGUUUGAGUUGCGGGUUGGGGUCCGGGUUUCUAGUAGAGGUUGUUUAGUCGAGUUCCGGUCCACGCCCCGUUGACUUUCAAAUUUAGCUCGCCUUUUUCGUCUGUAAUCCAUUGCUGUUGAGAUUUGUUUAUACAGUAAAGAAAGUUUUAGACUACUGAGAUGGGAUGUCCCGGAAGAAAACAAAAAUGUAAAAAUGGUGGUUGCCCGUGGAGAAGACCCGGGAUGUCGGGGAUAGCUUAGUAUAGUUUAGCAUAGUGUAGUUUAGGUUUAUUUUCUCGCAUUUUUCUUUUAUUUCGGGUUGUAAUAAUUCGGACUUUAUUUUCUAACUUUUCUUGUGUGCGUGCUUGUGUGAUUGUUUGAGUUUACUUGAUUGA